CUGGCGGCGUGCCUAAUAUGCAAGUCGAGCGGACAGAUGGGUAGCUUGCUCCCUGCAUGUUAGCGGCGGACGGGUGAGUAACACGUGGGUAACCUGCCUGUAAGACUGGGAUAACUCCGGGAAACCGGGGCUAAUACCGGAUGGUUGUCUGAACCGCAUGGUUCAUACAUAAAAGGUGGCUUCGGCUACCACUUACAGAUGGACCCGCGGCGCAUUAGCUAGUUGGUGAGGUAACGGCUCACCAAGGCGACGAUGCGUAGCCGACCUGAGAGGGUGAUCGGCCACACUGGGACUGAGACACGGCCCAACUCCUACGGGAGGCAGCAGUAGGGAAUCUUCCGCAAUGGACGAAAGUCUGACGGAGCAACGCCGCGUGAGUGAUGAAGGUUUUCGGAUCGUAAAGCUCUGUUGUUAGGGAAGAACAAGUGCCGUUCAAAUAGGGCGGCACCUUGACGGUACCUAACCAGAAAGCCACGGCUAACUACGUGCCAGCAGCCGCGGUAAUACGUAGGUGGCAAGCGUUGUCCGGAAUUAUUGGGCGUAAAGGGCUCGCACGCGGUUUCUUAAUUCUGAUGUGAAAGCCCCCGCUCAACCGGGGAGGGUCAUUGGAAACUGGUGAACUUGAUGCAAAAGAGGAAAAUCAAUUCCACUUGUACGUGAAUUCGUAGAGGUGUG
rnacentral:rRNA from 1 species